rnacentral:rRNA from 1 species
CUUAGCAUAUCAAUAAGCGGAGGAAAAGAAACCCAACAGGGAUUGCCCUAGUAACGGCGAGUGAAGCGGCAACAGCUCAAAUUUGAAAUCUGGCUCUUUCAGGGUCCGAGUUGUAAUUUGCAGAGGGCGCUUUGGCUUUGGCAGCGGUCCAAGUUCCUUGGAACAGGACGUCACAGAGGGUGAGAAUCCCGUACGUGGUCGCUAGCUAUUGCCGUGUAAAGCCCCUUCGACGAGUCGAGUUGUUUGGGAAUGCAGCUCUAAAUGGGAGGUAAAUUUCUUCUAAAGCUAAAUACUGGCCAGAGACCGAUAGCGCACAAGUAGAGUGAUCGAAAGAUGAAAAGCACUUUGGAAAGAGAGUCAAACAGCACGUGAAAUUGUUGAAAGGGAAGCGCUUGCAGCCAGACUUGCUUGCAGUUGCUCAUCCGGACUUUUGUCCGGUGCACUCUUCUGCAGGCAGGCCAGCAUCAGUUUGGGCGGUGGGAUAAAGGUCUCUGUCACGUACCUCUCUUCGGGGAGGCCUUAUAGGGGAGACGACAUACCCCCASCCUGGACUGAGGUCCGCGCAUUUGCUAGGAUGCUGGCGUAAUGGCUGUAAGCGGCCCGUCUUGAAACMCGGACCAAGGAGUCUAACAUCUAUGCGAGUGUUUGGGUGUCAAGCCCGAACGCGUAAUGAAAGUGAACGGAGGUGGGAACCCGCAAGGGUGCACCAUCGACCGAUCCUGAUGUCUUCGGAAGGAUUUGAGUAAGAGCAUGGCUGUUGGGACCCGAAAGAUGGUGAACUAUGCUUGAAUAGGGUGAAGCCAGAGGAAACUCUGGUGGAGGCUCGCAGCGGUUCUGACGUGCAAAUCGAUCGUCAAAUUUGGGCAUAGGGGCGAAAGACUAAUCGAACUAUCUAGUAGCUGGUUCCUGCCGA